ensembl:lncRNA
CAGGGUGCAGCAGGGACAGUUCUCUGGGCAGCUCUGGUCCCCAAAACAACGCAGGAGGGAGCACAGGGGGUGUGCCAGGAACCUCUGUGUCCUGGACUGGUCAUUGGGACUGGUCAGGCCGGUCCCUCACCUUGGCCUGAGCCCCAGCUCUCCUGUCAGGUGCCUCCUGGAGCUGCCCCAUCACCCCUCUCUGGCAGAUGCAUCUGCAGUUGGUUCCCCCUCUGUUGCACAUCCUGAUUUCAUGUUCUGCUUUCUGUUGUGUGAAAGUGACCAUCAGACCCAACCUGCAUGUGCAACCUCGAUGAUUUAGCAACUGAUUCAGAUACUCCAGAUUCAGACACUGAAUCAGCAGCUGAAGAACGUGCAAGACAAGCUGACCUUUCCAGGCCACUCUAGAGGGAGAUGAAGGUGUUGCUGAGCCUGGCCCUGCUGCUGACAUGGCUGGGGCCAUGCACGGGGGCUGCCGAGGCGUUCACGGAGCCUCAGCUCCGAGCUAGGGCUGGCGACUCCGUGCUGCUGCAGUGCCUCUUCCUGGACCCCGACAGCAAGGGAUGGACCCUGCACAAAGUGGACUGGCUGCUCAAGGCAGGAGCUGGCACGCAGGAGGAGAUGGUGUUUUUUUACUACAGCAACCACGGCGUCCCCGCGGGCCGCUUCAAGAACCGGGUGCAGUGGCGGGGGAACAUCUCCCGGGGACGGCUCCAUCCUGCUGCGGGACCUGAGUCUCAACGACAGCGGCACCUACGAGUGCGAGCUGCGGCUGCUGGAGACCAGCAGCGUCUUCAGGAGCCGCACGGUGCUGCUCGUCAGCCCCGCCGUGCCCCCCGGCUUCCCCGUGCCACCCCCGCCUCGGUGUCUCCCCGCAGGUGCCGAGGAUGCGGCGCCCCCGGCUGCGUGGCCGUGGUGGUGGCGUUCCUGGCCGGGCUCUGCGUGAGGAAGAGGUUUGCAACCGUCACGGCCCUGGAGAGGAUGGGGAAGAGCAGCAGCAAGGGCAAAGCAGAGGAAGCAAUUUACUCCUCAAUCCCCGGAGCCGAGGUGCCCAAGGCUGAGCAGGAAGCAAAGAAGAAGAGGAGAGCUGAGGACACAUACAUAACCAUGCACCCAUCUCACUGCCGGGACAACGGCGUCUACGUGGAGCUGGCCAAGAGGGCCAUCCCGUCAGAGUGGAUGGCAGAGGGGACCCAGGGGCAUGGACAGAGCCAGGAGCCCCUCAGUAGGCCAGAGGAGGCACCUCCCCAGCCCCCAGAGCGGCAGAAGUAGCUGUGCUGGGGGAUGGCAGCCCUUUCCCAGGUGUGUCCGGGAUACCUUUGUCCCUCUGAGGACUGAGAACUGGUGACACGUCGCUGUGUGCCCCAUGCCAGGGCAGUGCUGGGGCACAGCCCACCCCAGCUGUCUGCAGGGGACCAGGGGACACCUGUCCCUGCAGCUCUUGCCCCCCUGGACUCGAGAGAGCGGGCACAGCCUCACGCUCCAGCUCUGAUCCUGGCCCAGGAUGAGGAUCCCCAAGGGGGGAGAUGCAGCAGGAGCUGUCACAGUAUUUUUCUGCAGAUAAUAAAACUCAGGGAAUCUUCCCUGAUGCUGUCUGU